GCCUGGGUGGCACAGACGGUUUGCAUUUGACUAUUAAUCAAGAGGUUGGUGGUUCAAAUUCAUCCCAGCA
rnacentral:tRNA from 1 species